UGAUGAUUUGAUUUAUGUUUAUGUUUAUGUGUCAUGUGUAAAAGGGUUGGUAAAUUAUUAUUUGGUCAUUGUAAGGUUAUUGAUUUGAUUAUUUUUAUUAUAGGUAAAUUGUACUGUAGAGGGUGUUUGAUUUUAUUUUUGGAAGUUGAUUUUAUUUGUUGUACCUUGUGUAUCAGGGUUUAUUAAUUUUUAUUAUGUAUUUUUAUUUCCCGAUUUCGGUAGAGCUACUUAUUUAUUUUAGUUGUUGUUUUAUCAACAUUAAUAAUAUUUUGGUGGGAGUGAUAUGUUAUUCGUUUCCGGGGGUAUCUGGUUUCUUGGGAAAUAAAUUUAAUUUACAUCUUUUAUUUAAUUGUUCUGUUUUUUUUUGGAGUUAUUUAAUUUGAGAUGAAUAUUUUGGGGGAUGAGCUUCAGGUUAAAUUUUUAUAAUUUCAUUGGUUUGGAUCUUUGUGGGCUUUAUGAUGGCUAGCAAUAUGAGUAUUUUAAAAUUUUACUUUUCUUUUAUAUUGAUUUAUUUGUUGUUUAAAUUUUUACUGGGACGUUUGGUGUGAUUUUGUACCCAUUGUGAUUAUGAUGUAAUUAGUAAAUUCUUUCUUUUUGUGAUCUUUAUUUUAUAUCUAGGUCUUAAAGAGGAACUAGGCAAGAGCUAUGUGCUCGCCUGUUUAACAAAAACAUCUCUUCUUGUUUAUAUAGGAAGUAGGACCUGCCCACUGAUUAAUUAAAGGGCCGCGGUAUUUUGACCGUGCAAAGGUAGCAUAAUCAUUAGUUCUUUAAUUGUGAACUGGUAUGAAUGGUUUGACGAGGCACUGACUGUCUUUUUUGGAUUAAGUUGAAUUUGAUUUUUAGGUAAGAAUACCUAAUUUUUUUUAUGGGACGAGAAGACCCUAUAGAGUUUCAUGAUUAUACGUCUUUUGAUGUUUGUUUGUUUAUUUUGAUGUUUUUUCAUUUUGUUGGGGUGAUGGGAAGAUAGGUUUAACUCUUCUUUGGUGUGGGACACUGAUUUGUGGAUAGUUGAUCCUUUAUUAUUGAUUAUAAGAUUAAAUUACCUUAGGGAUAACAGCGUAAUCUUUUUUGAGAGUUCUUAUCGACAAAAGGGUUUGCGACCUCGAUGUUGGAUUAAGAUGAAUUUUUGGUGUAGAGGCUUUAAUAUAUUAUUAGGUCUGUUCGACCUUUAAAAUCUUACAUGAUCUGAGUUCAAACCGGCGUGAGCCAGGUUGGUUUCUAUCUAUAAUUUUUUAUGAUUUCUUAGUACGAGAGGACCAGAAAUUUUGAAUAAUUCUAUUUAUUAUGUUUACUACUAAUUU
rnacentral:rRNA from 1 species